rnacentral:rRNA from 1 species
CCGGCGACCGGCGCACGGGUGAGUAACACGUAUGCAACCUGGCCGUCACAGGUGGAUAACCGGAAGAAAUUCCGACUAAUACAGCAUAACACUCCUGAGGGACAUCCCUUGGGAGUCAAAGGAGGCAACUCCGGUAACGGAUGGGCAUGCGGCGCAUUAGGUAGUUGGUAGGGUAACGGCCUACCAAGCCGACGAUGCGUAGGGGUUCUGAGAGGAAGGUCCCCCACACUGGUACUGAGACACGGACCAGACUCCUACGGAAGGCAGCAG